UAGACAGCCAGGAUGUUGGCUUAGAAGCAGCCAUCAUUUAAAGAAAGCGUAAUAGCUCACUGGUCGAGUCGGCCUGCGCGGAAGAUGUAACGGGGCUAAACCAUGCACCGAAGCUGCGGCAGCGACGCUUAGGCGUUGUUGGGUAGGGGAGCGUUCUGUAAGCCGUUGAAGGUGGCCUGUGAGGGUUGCUGGAGGUAUCAGAAGUGCGAAUGCUGACAUAAGUAACGAUAAAGCGGGUGAAAAGCCCGCUCGCCGGAAGACCAAGGGUUCCUGUCCAACGUUAAUCGGGGCAGGGUGAGUCGACCCCUAAGGCGAGGCUGAAAAGCGUAGUCGAUGGGAAACAGGUUAAUAUUCCUGUACUUGGUGUUACUGCGAAGGGGGGACGGAGAAGGCUAGGCUAGCCGGGCGACGGUUGUCCCGGUUUAAGCGUGUAGGGGGUGUGACCUGGUAAAUCCGGUUGCAUAUCAACCCUGAGGCGUGAUGACGAUGCACUACGGUGCAGAAGUAGUUGAUGCCCUGCUUCCAGGAAAAGCCUCUAAGCUCCAGGUAACAUUGAAUCGUACCCCAAACCGACACAGGUGGUCAGGUAGAGAAUACCAAGGCGCUUGAGAGAACUCGGGUGAAGGAACUAGGCAAAAUGGUGCCGUAACUUCGGGAGAAGGCACGCUGGCAUGUAGGUGAA
rnacentral:rRNA from 1 species